UAUACAAGUAGAGCAGACCUCUCUCAUUCCUGGAUCUCCAGGUUAACGUCAGCAUUAGAAUCAUUUUUCGGUGUUCGGAAUAAAAAAAUUUGGGUUUGGCGAAAUGUUAGUCGCCUGUUUAGGCUCUAUUUCAUAGACAUGGAUCAUUCUGCAGUGAUCACUACUAAAAAGGGGAAAUUGGUCGCAAGACACUGUUAUUUCACUUUUUCCACAUUACCCCGAGACCUGAAUUUCAAACUAUGAUUUUGUGAACUGUUAUGGUUCGACUUCAGACUAAAUGCUGAACAAUUUUGUAAUCAAAUAAUUUUCAAAGUUGACACCUACGUACUAAUUUUUGGGGCCAAAAUUUCAAUUAUAAUUUUUUUUUUGUUCAAAACCAUGAUCCUCCCAAGCAAAAACCGUCAUCCAGACGAAAAAAAUGUCAAACUUUCCGUUUUGGGCUGAGCGGUUUGUUGUGGCAAAUGACCACAAAAUUGUAAUGGUACUGAGCAAAGACACAAUCCGGCGGUGUGUCUCGGCAAAGUCCGGAAAAUAACAGUGUGUUGUGGCCAAUUUUCUCCCAAAAAAAUCAAGUUUUUAUGUGCGAUGGGCAAUUGUUGAUUAGAUUGUCCUUACUGGCUAUACAAACUAGCUCAAGCUGUGAAUCAUGGAAAGAUCCAUGGGGUUCAGGUUUGUAGGGAUGCCCCUCCUGUUACCAAUCUCCUCUUUGCAGAUGACUAAUUGAUUUUAAUGAAAACAAAUCUGGAGAAUGCUUCAGGUCUUAAAAAUGUUUUGGAAGAUGAUUGUGCUGCUUCAGGUCAACUUGUAUCUUGGACUGCCGGCCCUUGUUGGCGCUGACAAAUCCGAUUGUUCUCAGUUCUUGUGGAUAGAGUGGAAAAGAAUGUCUGGCUGGAAAGAGAAGGUUUUCUCCUAUGUGAUGUCGGUCUUCAAAAUUCCUAAAUCAACUUGUAAAGCGAUUACGGAUGCGAUGUCUCAUUUAUGGUGGGAUGACGAGGGUGGCAAAAUAAGAAUGCAUUGGUUCGCUUGGUGGAAACUUUGUAUUCCCAAAAAUCAUGGAGGUAUGGUGUUCCGCGAUAUCCACUGCUUCAACCUUGCUCUCCUCUCGAAGCAAGUGUGGAGACUGGUGGAUUCAGCUGACUCGUUCUGUGCUUCCAUCCUGAGGCCGAAGUACUUCCCUGAUGGAAAUCUUCGUAAUGCCAAUUUGAAAAAGGGAGCUUCCUUCACAUGGCAAAGGCAAAGUAUUAUGGCUGGGGUUAGGACCCUCAAACUUGGGCUGAUUUGGAGAGUGGGUAAUGGCGAUAGCAUUGAUAUUUGGAGUCCAUCUAGGAAAAUUCUUACCAGAAGAGUUCGCCAUCUCUUAUCAAAAGUUUCAGAUCUGAUUGAUCCAGCUACAGGGAACUGGAACACACAGCUCAUUGAGCAAACCUUCUGGCGGGUGGAUAGACAACGUAUCCUGAGUUUCCUGUUAUCUGCUAAUGCUGCAGAAGACUUUGUUGCCUAGGAUCUGACUAAAUCUCAUAUGUUUUCGGUUAGAUCAGCGUACCAUGCUGAGUGGAAUCACCAAUCUGCGAGGAGAUGCUACGACUGUGGGGGGCAAAGGGCGAUGGUCGACCAUCCAAUGGAAGAAACUCUGGAAAUUGAAUGUCCCGGCGAAAGUUAAAAUCUCCAUGGAGCCAUGACAUGUCAUGCGAUCCUUCCAGACAGACAUGUUAAGGUUAACCCGCAAUACCCUCAAUGUAAACUAGGUCCUGAAGAAACUGGAGUGCUCUGUUUCCCUCGCGCGCUCGACAUUUGGAGGAAGUUGAAUUUGCAGGUUGCGAUUGCUGAAGCUGUGAUGCAGGAUAGAGCAGGCCCAGCGAUUCUGGAGUACCUCCUGUGCUCCCCUUUGGUUUCUCCUAUUUCUGUUGAGCAUUUUUGUGAAACUGUGGCUACUGCGACUUGCAUAUACGGUGGUAGCAACGCUGCUUUGUGCCUGAUGAACCUCUUCUGUCUGCAUCCAGCUCAGCUUUCUCUAUUGCGAGUCUGGUGCAGCUCUAUCUCUGUGUCGCAAGCUCAAACAAGGCGGGCGUAAAAAAAGAUAACUGGAUUAAGCCUCCAGCUGACUGCGUUAAAGUGAAUGUUGACGCGGGUUUUUCUGAGGAGGAAUUACGUGGAUCUGUGGACUGUGGGGGUGGUGAUCAGGAACCAUGCUGACGAAUUUGUUGCGGCGGCCAAUGACACACUCGACCUUGUCACAGACAUCAUGAUGGCUGAAGCUUCAGUGAUGUUACUGGGCAUGGAGCUGGCCAUUUCCUGGGGCUGUAGCAGAGUCGUGUUUAAUUGUGACAAUACUUCUGUGAUUGAGAUCCUUAACCGGGGGGAAAGAAGCUACGGUCCGGCAACUGAAAUUUUUGAAGACUGUUUCUGUCCUAUGAAGGAGUUUGUUAUGAUCUCCUUUGAACACUACGGACGUAGAUCCAAUGAGGUUGCCCAUGAACUUGCUCGCCAAGCCAGAUUCUCGCCGGUUGGGUCCUGGGUUGAUUCUCCCCCUCUUUGCAUUUUCCCUCUCCUUCUUAAUGAUGUAACUCUCAUUACUAAUCAUCAACAAGGAGGGUUUUUGCUGUAAAAAAAACACUACAAAGUUCAUAAAAAUGAAGCUGAUUUUGUUGGAUUGACUCUAUUUA